rnacentral:rRNA from 1 species
GACGAACGCUGGCGGCGUGCUUAACACAUGCAAGUCGAACGAUGAACUUGGAGCUUGCUCUGGGGGAUUAGUGGUGAACGGGUGAGUAACACGUGAGUAACCUGCCCUGGACUCUGGGAUAACUUCGAGAAAUCGGAGCUAAUACCGGAUAGGACCUUGCACCGCAUGGUGUGGGGUGGAAAGUUUUUCGGUUUGGGAUGGACUCGCGGCCUAUCAGCUUGUUGGUGAGGUAAUGGCUCACCAAGGCGUCGACGGGUAGCCGGCCGGAGAGGGUGACCGGCCACACUGGGACUGAGACACGGCCCAGACUCCUACGGGAGGCAGCAGUGGGGAAUAUUGCACAAUGGGCGCAAGCCUGAUGCAGCAACGCCGCGUGCGGGAUGACGGCCUUCGGGUUGUAAACCGCUUUUAGUAGGGAAGAAGCCUUCGGGUGGCGGUACCUGCAGAAAAAGGACCGGCUAACUACGUGCCAGCCGCCGCUGUAAUAC